AUGUUAUACACACACCAGAGAUAUUACACACACACCAGAGAUAUUAUACACAAACCAGAGAUAUUAUACACACACCAGAGAUAUUAUACACACACCAGAGAUAUUAUACACACACUAGAGAUAUUAUACACACACACCAGAGACAUUACACACACACCAGAGAUAUUAUACACCCAGGAGAGAUAUUAUACACACAGGAGAGAUAUUAUACACACAGGAGAGAUUUUAUAUACACACCAGAGAUAUUAUACACAAACCAGAGAUAUUAUACACACACCAGAGAUAUUAUAUACACAGGAGAGAUAUUACACACACACCAGAGAUAUUACACACACACCAGAGAUAUUAUAUAUACAGGAGAGAUAUUACACACACACCAGAGAUAUUAUACACACAGGAGAGAUAUUACACACUCACCAGAGAUAUUACACACAGACUCACCAGAGAUAUUAUACACUCACCAGAUAUAUUACACACAGACUCACCAGAGAUAUUAUACACACACCAGAGAUAUUACACACACACCAGAGAUAUUACACACUCACCAGAGAUGCACACUCACCAGAGAUAUUACACACUCACCAGAGAUAUUACACACUCACCAGAGAUAUUAUACACACACCAGAGAUAUUACACACACACCAGAGAUAUUACACACUCACCAGAGAUAUUACACACUCACCAGAGAUAUUAUACACACACCAGAGAUAUUACACACACACCAGAGAUAUUACACACUCACCAGAGGUAUUACACACUCACCAGAGAUAUUAUACACACAUCAGAAAUAUUACACACUCACCAGAGAUAUUAUACACACACCAGAGAUAUUACACACUCACCAGAGAUAUUAUACACACACCAGAGAUAUUACACACUCACCAGAGAUAUUACACACUCACCAGAGAUAUUACACACUCACCAGAGAUAUUACACACUCACCAGAGAUAUUAUACACACACCAGAUAUAUUACACACACCAGAGAUAUUACACACUCGCCAGAGAUAUUACACACACACCAGAGAUAUUAUACACACACCAGAGAUAUUACACACACACCAGAGAUAUGA
rnacentral:lncRNA from 1 species